rnacentral:rRNA from 1 species
GAUGAACGCUGGCGGCGUGCCUAAUACAUGCAAGUCGAGCGAACGGACGAGAAGCUUGCUUCUCUGAUGUUAGCGGCGGACGGGUGAGUAACACGUGGAUAACCUACCUAUAAGACUGGGAUAACUUCGGGAAACCGGAGCUAAUACCGGAUAAUAUUUUGAACCGCAUGGUUCAAAAGUGAAAGACGGUCUUGCUGUCACUUAUAGAUGGAUCCGCGCUGCAUUAGCUAGUUGGUAAGGUAACGGCUUACCAAGGCAACGAUGCAUAGCCGACCUGAGAGGGUGAUCGGCCACACUGGAACUGAGACACGGUCCAGACUCCUACGGGAGGCAGCAGUAGGGAAUCUUCCGCGAUGGGCGAAAGCCUGACGGAGCAACGCCGCGUGAGUGAUGAAGGUCUUCGGAUCGUAAAACUCUGUUAUUAGGGAAGAACAUAUGUGUAAGUAGCUGUGCACAUCUUGACGGUACCUAAUCAGAAAGCCACGGCUAACUACGUG